rnacentral:rRNA from 1 species
UCCUCCCUCUGGCGGCGUGCCUAAUACAUGCAAGUUGAGCGCUGAAGGUUGGUACUUGUACCGACUGGAUGAGCAGCGAACGGGUGAGUAACGCGUGGGGAAUCUGCCUUUGAGCGGGGGACAACAUUUGGAAACGAAUGCUAAUACCGCAUAAAAACUUUAAACACAAGUUUUAAGUUUGAAAGAUGCAAUUGCAUCACUCAAAGAUGAUCCCGCGUUGUAUUAGCUAGUUGGUGAGGUAAAGGCUCACCAAGGCGAUGAUACAUAGCCGACCUGAGAGGGUGAUCGGCAACAUUGGGACUGAGACACGGCCCAAACUCCUACGGGAGGCAGCAGUAGGGAAUCUUCGGCAAUGGACGAAAGUCUGACCGAGCAACGCCGCGUGAGUGAAGAAGGUUUUCGGAUCGUAAAACUCUGUUGGUAGAGAAGAACGUUGGUGAGAGUGGAAAGCUCAUCAAGUGACGGUAACUACCCAGAAAGGGACGGCUAACUACGUG